CAACAAAACAGCGACGUUGCGUCUCUACCAUUGGUGGAAAUGUUGUUGUUAUAACGUCAGUCGGCAACUGUUUUCGUAACGCCCACAUAACAAGUGGCUGGAGCUGAGUAUAAAAUGGAGACACCCAAGCGAAUGGGGACAGUCAGUGCGUAGCAACGAAGCAGCCAACAUUAGACAAUGACUUUACUUCAUAUGCUGUAGUUUUUCCGCGAUGUCUUCUUACUUCAGUUUUCUAUGUUUGCGCAGUCCGAAGCCUUUGAGUAAACUAAAUUUCCAUUUGAUGCUGCAAAGAUAGUUUGUGGCAGCUAUCUCAACUAAGAAAAGCUUUACUCUCCUUCAAGACUUCUCUUUAAUAAUCAUCCACAACUGAUAUGUGGCACUAGCAGUUAAUGGUAAUUAAUUUCUAAAAUAAAAUCAAAUGACCAACAAUUUUGCACUCUA